rnacentral:rRNA from 1 species
CCUACGGGAGGCAGCAGUGAGGAAUAUUGGUCAAUGGGCGGAAGGCUGAACCAGCCAAGUAGCGUGCGGGAUGAAGGCCCUAUGGGUCGUAAACUGCUUUUGUACGGGGAUAACACCCUCCACUUGUGGAUGUCUGCAUGUACCGUGCGAAUAAGGGUCGGCUAAUUCCGUGCCAGCAGCCGCGGUAAUACGGAAGGCACGAGCGUUAUCCGGAUUCAUUGGGUUUAAAGGGAGCGUAGGCGGGCGUUCAAGUCAGCUGUAAAAUCGCGCGGCUCAACCGCGCCCCGCAGUUGAAACUGGACGCCUUGAGUUCACAACAGGCAGGCGGAAUUCGUGGUGUAGCGGUGAAAUGCAUAGAUAUCACGAGGAACCCCGAUUGCGAAGGCAGCCUGCCGGGGUGCGACUGACGCUGAGGCUCGAAGGUGCGGGUAUCAAACAGGAUUAGAUACCCUUGUAGUC